ACUUAAUUUUUCUGGCAAUUUUCUAUCUAUAACAAUGCAACAGACUUUCUUAGAAUAAUCUUAAUUACAGAAUUGCACUGAAUAAAAGAAAAUAUGCGCAGAACAUAAAUUUGUUGGCCCAAUACAGCCCACGGCUACCCUUAAUUCAUUCGGCCCAGCUCAAAAGACAAUAACAUUAGGGGGAAAAACGUUUCCUGCCAGGAUAAGACAAGCUGGGCCGCAACCCAGCUGCAGAAGCGGCGUUUUAAGCGCCCGAAGGCCCGUUCGGAGCUGCGCAACGGCCUCAGCCGUUGGAUCAAGCCGACGGCCCCGAUCCUCCCGGGCCAGAGCAAGAGGUCAAAACCCUAGCGGCAUCUCCCCUCAUCUCCCCCGAUUUUCACGGAGCAGCGACACAGAGGCGACCAAAACUGCGAUCCGAGGUACUCCGGCCAUGGCGGUGUGGCAGCUCCGUUCGUCGGAGCAGCGUGUCUGGCUCAAGGCUGUGCGCUCCUCCGCCGAACGGCGCCAGCCAUGUCGAGCUCAUGGCGAGACCCGGAGUCCUUCAGCGCCUGGGAUGCGGGAGGCAUCUCGUCGGCGGCUGCCAACGCAAGCAUUCCGCAGCGACGGUGGCGUCAACGUGCAAGGCACAGAGGCCGGCCGACGCGCGUGUCCAUGAGCACAGCAGCUGCGGCCACAAUCUUCCCGCGCGUCGUCCCGAGAGACGGCGGCGUCGGGAUCCAGAAAAGGAUAGCACCGCGUGGCUUCUUAGGCACAACAUAGCCCAUGAACUCCAGUGGCGAGGAUGAGCAACAGCAGUGGCACCGCGGUGAUGUAGUCGUGGAGAGGCAGCAGCUCAUCCAGGAGCUUCGCCGGUGGCAGCAGGAAGCCGCCGGCACAGCCUUGCGGCGGCCAGAGGUGGAAACGGCCUUCUGAUCCCCUUAGCUCCCCCUUUUUAGGAUCGGUAGUUGAGGUCAUGGUAAAACUUAUCUGUAUGUGAUGGAUCACCCAUACAGGAGAGGAAGUACCUCUCUUUUAUACGUGGGGCUAGGGAACAGGGACCGAAACCAAUAGGUUGUUUGCACCCCCGA